rnacentral:misc_RNA from 1 species
UUUCCGUAGGUGAACCUGCGGAAGGAUCAUUACCGAGUUAGGGUCUCCCUCGCGGGGCCCGACCUCCCAACCCCGUGUCUACUCAACCUGUACGUGUUGCUUCGGCGGACCGGCGUCGCAAGACCUGCCGCCGGGGGGCGUCUCAGACCCCCCUGGAGAGCGUCCGCCGAUGGCCCAACCAAACCAAAUUAUCAAAACCAAAAUUAUUGAACCCUCCAUUCUGAAUCAGACCUUUUGAUAUACCAAUCAAAAACAAAACUUUCAACAACGGAUCUCUUGGUUCUGGCAUCGAUGAAGAACGCAGC